CCGCAAGAUACCACGGUCGCACGGCGGAUGCCUUGGCACAGGGAGCCGAUGAAGGACGCGGCAAGCUGCGAUAAUCCCCGGCGAGGAGCACACAUCCUUCGACCCGGGGGUCUCCGAAUGGGCGAACCCAUGCACAGCGGUGUGCAUAUCCCCACCCCGAACACAUAAGGGUGGGGAGGACAACCCGGGGAACUGAAACAUCUAAGUACCCGGAGGAGAGGAAAUCAAUCUCGAGACUCCCCGAGUAGCGGCGAGCGAAAGGGGACCGAUGGCCAAACCGUCGAGCGGGCAUACCCGGCAGGGGUUCCGCCGACGGGGUUGCAGGGCCGCGCAUCCGGGGGCUGCCGCCCCCGGGCGCAGGUCCGGCUGGGGAGCGGAACGGCAUGGGAGGGCCGGCCGCAGCGGGUGACAGCCCCGUACGCGAACCCAGACCGGACGGCGCGACGCGGUCCCUGAGUAGGGCCGGGCACGUGAAACCCGGUCCGAACCUGGGUGGACCACCAUCCAAGCCUGAGUACUACCCUGUGACCGAUAGCGCACCAGUACCGUGAGGGAAAGGUGAAAAGCACCCCGGGAGGGGAGUGAAACAGUACCUGAAACCGUGCGCCCACGAGCAGUCGGAGCAACUUUUAGUUGUGACGGCGUGCCUUUUGUAGAAUGAGCCAGCGAGUCGCUGGCGCGGGGCGAGGUUAACCGAAAGGGAGCCGGAGCGAAAGCGAGCCUUAACAGGGCGACUUGAGUCCCGCGCCGCGGACGCGAAGCCGGGUGAGCUAUCCGUGGGCAGGCUGAAGCGGGGGUAAGACCCCGUGGAGGGCCGAACGCACGUCGGUUGAAAACGGCGGCGAUGACCUGCGGAUAGGGGUGAAAGGCCAAUCAAACCCGGAGAUAUCUCGUUCUCCCCGAAAUAGCUUUAGGGCUAGCGUCGCGCGUUCACCGCCGGAGGUAGAGCACCGGAUGGACGAGGGGGCUUCGCCGCCUACCGAAUCCAACCGAACUCCGAAUGCCGGCGGCCCAGAGCGCGGCAGUCAGAGCAUGUGGGCUAAGCUGUGUGCUCGAGAGGGAAACAGCCCGGACCGCCCGCUAAGGUCCCCAAGUUCCAGCCGAGUGGCAAAGGAUGUGCGUCCGCCCAGACAACCAGGAUGUUGGCUUAGAAGCAGCCAUCCAUUCAAAGAGUGCGUAACAGCUCACUGGUCGAGUGGACAUGCGCCGACAAUACACGGGGCUAAGCUGGACACCGAAGCGGCGGGAUUUUAAUUCAUUAGAAUCGGUAGGGGAGCUUCCCAUGGGCGGAGAAGCCGGAGGGCGACCGACGGUGGAGCGCAUGGGAGUGAGAAUGCUGGCAUGAGUAGCGAGAGACGAGAGAGUAACUCGUCCGCCGUGAACCCGAGGUUUCCUGGGCAAGGCUAAUCCUCCCAGGGUCAGUCGGGGGCUAAGGCGAGGCCGGGAGGCGUAGCCGACGCGCAGCAGGCAGACAUUCCUGCACCGCGCACGCGGCGCUACGACCGACGGGGCGACGGAUGGGGGUGGCUCGGCGGGGUUCUGGACGUCCCCGUGAUGGAGCGCGGCCCGCGGACCAGGGAAAUCCGGUCCGCAUUGAGGGCGAGGCUCCGGACGAAGCGACUGAGCGAAGCGAGUGAGCCCGAGGUCCCUAGAAAAACCCCUAGGCAGGCGCGUGCGCGCCCGUACCGCAAACCGACACAGGUGGGUGGGUAGAACAUACCGAGGCGAUCGGGUCAACCAUGGUCAAGGAACUCGGCACAAUGGCCCCGUAACUUCGGGAGAAGGGGUGCCCGCGCGUACGUGAACCGGCUUGCCCGGGGAGCGGAGGCGGGCCGCAGUGGAGAGGCCCAAGCGACUGUUUACCAAAAACACAGGACUCUGCAGAAGCCGCAAGGCGACGUAUAGGGCAGGCGUCACACCGUAUACGUCCACUUUCGUGUUUGCACAGUGCUGUGUUUUUAAUAAAC
rnacentral:rRNA from 1 species